UUUCUUCAAAAUUAUCGGUGUUCUGCUGAGUUGGUGGUGCUGGCUUUAUCAGAGGCACAAACAGUAACAGGAGAAGUGUAGACUGCAGAAUCUUCAUUUUAACAAAAAUUAAGGACAACAGAAUGGUCUCAAGGCAUUGCCAAGUGUCCCCUGGACGGCAAAAUCGCCCCUGUUGAGAGUCACCCAGUGGCCAGGUCGCCCCACAUUUGUGUGUUUAUUUCUUAUUUGAGGAAUUCUAUGCAAUGUUAGCCUAAUAAAUCAAGAAAGUUCAUCAAAGCAGGUAGAUCAUCUCUAUUAUAAGGUAUAGUUAAAAUAUUU